CUAAGGCUCCAGAGGAAGCCACGGCUAACUCUGUGCCAGCAGCCGCGGUAAUACAGAGGCGGCAAGCGUUGUUCGGAAUUAUUGGGCGUAAAGAGCACGUAGGCGGCCUUGCAAGUCAGUUGUGAAAGCCUUCCGCUUAACGGAAGAAUGCCAGCUGAUACUACAGGGCUUGAGUACGGGAGGGGAGAAUGGAACUUCUGGUGGAGCGGUGAAAUGCGUAGAUAUCAGAAGGAACGCCGGCGGCGAAAGCGACUCUCUGGCCCGAAACUGACGCUGAGUGUGCGAAAGCUAGGGGAGCAAACGGGAUUAGAUACCCCGGUAGUCCUAGCCGUAAA
rnacentral:rRNA from 1 species